CCUUAAGUAAAUUACUUUUCCAGCAACUUGCUGGCUGAGCAAUACUUUAUUUCUAUACUGACUUUCAGUGCUCCAAAAAAGACUUUAUAAAAAUUAGCUGUAGAAUUGAGUAAGAUAUCACUAAUAUCAUUUUUGAGUUUGUUUUCAGAGAGAAACAAUAGAGAAAGAGUAAUUUCCAGUCGACAUUCAUCCCAAUAAAUUACACAGUUCUUUCAUUUGAGGUCAUUUUAUGCCACUUAU
rnacentral:lncRNA from 1 species